rnacentral:rRNA from 1 species
UACGUAGGGUGCAAGCGUUGUCCGGAAUUAUUGGGCGUAAAGAGCUCGUAGGCGGUUCGUCGCGUCGGCUGUGAAAGCCUGAGGCUCAACCUCAGGCCUGCAGUCGAUACGGGCGGACUUGAGUACUGCAGGGGAGACUGGAAUUCCUGGUGUAGCGGUGAAAUGCGCAGAUAUCAGGAGGAACACCGGUGGCGAAGGCGGGUCUCUGGGCAGUAACUGACGCUGAGGAGCGAAAGCGUGGGGAGCGAACAGG